ACAGAGGUCUCAAGCGUUGUUCGGAUUUACUGGGCGUAAAGGGUGCGUAGGAGGCCCGUUGUGUCAGCUGUGAAAUGCCGGGGCUCAACCCCGGCAAUGCAGAUGAAACUGGCGGGCUGGAGGGCCGGAGAGGUAGCUGGAAUUCCCGGUGUAGCGGUGGAAUGCGUAGAGAUCGGGAGGAACACCGAUGGCGAAGGCAAGCGACUGGAAGAUAACUGACUCUGAGGUACGAAAGCGUGGGGAGCAAACAG
rnacentral:rRNA from 1 species